GAACACUGGUUCCCAUAUGAUCACUGAAGUUAAGCAAAGUAUAGCCUGGUCAGUGCCUAGAUGGGUAAUCACUUGGGAAUAUCAAGUGCUGUAA